AGACGGAAAUACCCUUAACAUUAAAAACAUAAAAAUUAACAAUUUUUCUCUCAUUCUCUCUCUCCUUUUUCUCUCCCUACGUAUUCUCUCCCUGCUUUCACAUUCUCUUCUCUCUUUCAUCUCUCUCUCCACUCUCAAUUUCACCAGUCAACCGAGCGACGAUCCGGCGCGGCGGCGGUUGUGGGAGGCUUCCGGGAGGGUCAGGCGGUGGUGAUUAUUAGUCAAGGGGUUGAAGAAGACGCGGCGAUUGGAGGUUCCCCACGCUUCAAUCGGAGAUCCGACGAUGAAGCAUCGCGGGAUCGCCGGAGAAUUCUCGGACCCUGCCUUCCUCACUGAUAUAUCGGAGCCGAGGAGUCCAUCGCCGAACUGUUAGAAGACGAGAGAGAUCUAGCUGGCGGCGGCGUACGCAGCGAAUUUGUUAGAGGGCGUGAAGGCGGAGCUUGGCCUGGACGACGGUGGCAAUGAUUCCUCAAUGAUGAAUGAUAAGAAGGUAAAUAAAUGGUCGAACAGUUGGUGGACGCAGUUCUCAGUCUGUUGGUGAGAGGGAUGAAGGAGCGACGACACGAGCAUUUCCACCUUCCAAAUAGCGCAGGUCGUCAUCGUCGCCAUCGUCGGCGGACACCUCUGGUGGAACACCAAUAUCACUCGCUUGCAAGACCAGAGCUCUGAUACAAGCUUCAACGCCGACUUCUUCGCCGAAAAAAAUGGAUCCUCUCUUACAUACUGAGAUUUGGGCGAAAUAGAAGUUGAUCUACUGAGAUUUGGGCGAAUUGGGUGAAUUGGUGAUUUUAGUGAGGAGUUUUGUUGAUUUGAUGGAUCCUCUUAGUGAGAAGCCAUUGGGCGAAUUGUUUGAAGCUGAACUAUAAGUGUAAUUGUUUAGUUAAUUUGUUUGAUUUUUUAAAUGAUUUUUUCAUACUGUGAA